UGGGGAAUAUUGCACAAUGGGCGCAAGCCUGAUGCAGCCAUGCCGCGUGUAUGAAGAAGGCCUUCGGGUUGUAAAGUACUUUCAGCGGGGAGGAAGGUGUUGAGGUUAAUAACCUCAGCAAUUGACGUUACCCGCAGAAGAAGAACCGGCUAACUCCGUGCCAGCAGCCGCGGGAAUACGGAGGGUGCAAGAGGUAAUCGGAAUUACUGGGCGUAAAGCGCACGCAGGCGGUCUGUCAAGUCGGAUGUGAAAUCCCCGGGCUCAACCUGGGAACUGCAUUCGAAACUGGCAGGCUAGAGUCUUGUAGAGGGGGGUAGAAUUCCAGGUGUAGCGGUGAAAUGCGUAGAGAUCUGGAGGAAUACCGGUGGCGAAGGCGGCCCCCUGGACAAAGACUGACGCUCAGGUGCGAAAGCGUGGGGAGCAAACA
rnacentral:rRNA from 1 species